ACAUGCCCGUCCUUCCCCCAGCAAACCUCCCUGGGGACCUGUCCUCUUUUUUGGGAUUCUGUAGUUCAGAGACAAGUUUCCUAUUUCCUCAGCAGUCCCAGACACGUCUCCCUCUCCUACCAGCUUAGAGGCAUCUACCCAUCCUCCCCGAUAGGGCAUGGUGAGACGCCUCGAUUCUCCCAGGAACCCGGGGACGCUACCCCACACGCCCUCCUCCAACCGGGGGCCAGUCCCCCCCCAGCCCAGCCCAGUCCAGGACCCUCUCUGCUCCACCCUAGCCCAGGCCAGGCAGGCUCCAUCCUCCAUCUAACCCUAGGGCAGGUCUCCCAUCCCCACAGCUGCUCGAGACCGGCCCCGUGUGGCUCUCAGUCCUUCCCCGAGUGUCCUAUCCCUGCACCCUGCAGGAGAGACCCCCCCGCGCCUCGGCUCCGGAGGAGAGCGCUUCGGGCCUCGAGAGCCCCGCAGAGCCGGUGGGCCCGGCUCCACUCACCCCUCAGCCCGGGAGGCGGGGGAGCUGCUGCGGCGGCUCCUCCGGCUGCGCCUCUCCUCCCCCCUCCCGGCCACCGCUGUCGCCGCCGCUCAGCCUCGGGCCUGGUCCCGGCCGGCCCCGGCCCGGCUCCGCUUCACCUAGUCCCCCAGUCUGGCCGCCGGAGCCCUGUGUCCUGCAUUGACCCGGAAGCAGCUUUCCCAGCCCAACAACAACACGUGACCCCGCCGCACGUGUCACGUCCGCUGCGUGAAUGGGAGGGGGCGCCGGAGGAGCGGGUCCUACCCAACCGAGCUGGGUUGCCAUGGCGACAGGGAUGGCUGUGCUGGCCUGGGCUUCACCACAAACAUCUCAUCUGCUCUUUCUCGUGCCUAUCCACUGAGGGGACAUCCCCAGGGGCAGAACGGGAGUACACAUUGUCAUAUCAGAGGACGAUAGGGGCUGCAGAAAGGAGCACUGGAGGGAACUUUUCCAGAGACACUUGGAAUCUUGGCCUGGCUCUGUUACUGAUUUGCUUAUGA
rnacentral:lncRNA from 13 species